GUAAGGUGGAAACGAAUAGAGUCGACGUAUCAGGCUUGUAUUCAGUCGUUUUAAAUUAUUGUCAUAACAAUUUGUCGCAUAAAUUUAUUAGAAUAUUACUAUCCUAGUAAAGUAAUACGACUUAUUGAAUUGUUGAUAUGUUUAGCGAUGCAUUUACAAGUCAAUAAUGCGCUGGAGUAUGUGCAAUCGUUGUGUUAAAGCAAAUAAGAGGUUACCUUAUGUUUACGGCUAAUAUUUUUAUUAACCGUUGACAAUGGUAGAACCGGAUUUGUUGUUGGUUUACCUAUGAAUACAAUUGAUUGUACAUUAAUUUACUAAAAUAAAAUUUUAUUGUCAAAGGCAUGGCAUGAUUAUUUAUGAAUGCAAAUAUUGAAGCAAAUUAAUUAAAUAAAAUAUAUGUUUGUCGCAUGUCGACGCAAUAAUUUGUUUAUUCUAUAAAUGGCUUUUAAAACUAUUUUGAAAAAAAUAGCCAAUAUUUACGGUGUCUUUGUUUGAUUGAUUCCAGUGUAAGAGUCGAUCAUCUAUUCGACCCGUCUUGAAACACGGACCAAGGAGUUUAACGCAUACGCAAGUCAUUAAGUGUAUAAAAACUUAAAGGCGUAAUGAAAGUAAAAUAAUUUUGUAUAAAAAAAAUAUGCGAUCUUUUUCAUCUAUAUUGUAAAGCGCAGCAUAGCCCCGUUUAAUUUGUUGCUUGCAACAGAACGGCGGAAGAGCGUAUGCGUUGAGACCCGAAAGAUGGUGAACUAUGCCUGAGCAGGAUGAAGCCAGAGGAAACUCUGGUGGAAGUCCGAAACGGUUCUGACGUGCAAAUCGAUCG
rnacentral:rRNA from 1 species